rnacentral:sRNA from 1 species
AACAAUUAAUCAAUCAGUGAUGCAGUAUUCUAGUCGGAAACCUUUUUAUGAAGGCGGGGCUAAAAAUCCGCCAAGGGCACAUCGAUGAAGUUCCUGGUGCUGGCUUUCGACGCCAUCGGGGGCUGGUGCUGGGAGUUAAGGAUCCAGGGCUAAAUACAAAGGCAUGUAUGAUGUCCCUGCUUCCGUGGAGACCCGGGUUAUAGGCGACAAAAGAAGUUUAUGCCCGGGGUGUGAACCUGCAUGUGGUAGACGCUGCGUGCAGCGUAGCCCGCCUUGAAGUGGCUGCGGGGGAUGGGAGAACCCCUGAAACCGUAGGCUGCAAUAGAGGCUAAUAAAAGGUGUAACCGUCAAGGAAAACUUCUAGACUGUCCAUCAGCAGGAUGGGGCAGGCUGGGGAUUGCAGUGCGGACUCAGUGGCAAUCCGGUCCCGGGUGAAAGCCCGGAGGGGUAUUAAAGGGAAACCGCCCGUUCGGCAACGACGGGUAACCUGCUGGGAAAUCCUACCGGACCUAAGCCGUAACAUUUACCUGGCCCUGCUAUCACUGGAAACAUUAAAGCA